GAGAUAAACGCUGAAAGCAUCUAAGUGUGAAACUCGCCUCGAGAUGAGAUUUCCCAUUUCCUUCGGGAAAGUAAGACCCCUCAGAGAUGAUGAGGUAGAUAGGAUGGAAGUGGAAGUGCCGUGAGGCAUGGAGCGGACCAUUACUAAUCGGUCGAGGACUUAACCAAG
rnacentral:rRNA from 1 species